AGCGUNUCCGGAUUUAUUGGGCGUAAAGCGAGCGCAGGCGGUUAGAUAAGUCUGAAGUUAAAGGCUGUGGCUUAACCAUAGUACGCUUUGGAAACUGUUUAACUUGAGUGCAAGAGGGGAGAGUGGAAUUCCAUGUGUAGCGGUGAAAUGCGUAGAUAUAUGGAGGANCACCGGUGGCGAAAGCGGCUCUCUGGCUNGUAACUGACGCUGAGGCUCGAAAGCGUGGGGAGCAAACAGGAUUAGAUACCCUGGUAGUCCACGCCGUAAACGAUGAGUGCUAGGUGUUAGACCCUUUCCGGGGUUUAGUGCCGCAGCUAACGCAUUAAGCACUCCGCCUGGGGAGUACGACCGCAAGGUUGAAACUCAAAGGAAUUGACGGGGGCCCGCACAAGCGGUGGAGCAUGUGGUCUAAUUCGAAGCAACGCGAAGAACCUUACCAGGUCUUGACAUCCCUCUGGCCGCUCUAGAGAUAGAGUUUUCCUUCGGGACAGAGGUGACAGGUGGUGCAUGGUUGUCGUCAGCUCGUGUCGUGAGAUGUUGGGUUNNNNNNNNNNNNCGAGCGCAACCCCUAUUGUUAGUUGCCAUCAUUUAGUUGGGCACUCUAGCGAGACUGCCGGUAAUAAACCGGAGGAAGGUGGGGAUGACGUCAAAUCAUCAUGCCCCUUAUGACCUGGGCUACACACGUGCUACAAUGGCUGGUACAGCGAGUCGCAAGCCGGUGACGGCAAGCUAAUCUCAUAAAGCCAGUCUCAGUUCGGAUUGUAGGCUGCAACU
rnacentral:rRNA from 1 species